rnacentral:rRNA from 1 species
UACGGAGGAUCCGAGCGUUAUCCGGAUUUAUUGGGUUUAAAGGGUGCGUAGGCGGACUAGUAAGUCAGUGGUGAAAUCCUGCAGCUUAACUGUAGAAUUGCCGUUGAUACUGUUAGUCUUGAGUACAUUUGAGGUAGGCGGAAUGUGGUGUGUAGCGGUGAAAUGCAUAGAUAUACCACAGAACACCGAUUGCGAAGGCAGCUUACUAAACUGUAACUGACGCUGAGGCACGAAAGCGUGGGUAUCAAACAGGAUUAGAUACCCG